rnacentral:sRNA from 1 species
GGCGUAAGGCGUUGUUAUUCAUUAGCCUGUAAUUUUGUUUUACUUAAUUAGGUUACGAGAUCUUUGUAAUAAGCGAUUCAGUCAGGGGUGCUUAACUCUAACCAACCUUUCACUAGAUAAGAAAGGAAGGAGAAUAAGAGAAUCAGAUGACGUCACAUUUUGAUACUUAUUAUUACAGCAAUAGUUCAACCUAGGAUGUGUUUCAAAGGAGGUAAGUGAUUAUAUAUACCAAUAGCAGUUCGCUAAGUUUCAAAAUAUUUAUAAUUCUACGCUGAGUGUUGGGCACAGAGUGGAGACAAAUGUUAAUGAGCUGCCCUAGGAACCAAUAGCGUAGUUAGGGACUUGGCGGCCCAGGUUGCUUACCUGUUUAGUUGCCCUGCAAUUUAAUGUUUAAUAUAAAAAACACAUUUCGUGAACUCAUUUAGAGAACUUUCAAGUGGGGGUGGGGAGCUUUUCAAAUCUGUAACCAACCCCUCCCACCCUAGCUAAGCCACUGGUAGGAACUAAUCCUUUUCCUAUAAAAUCCUAUUUCCUCCUGUUAUCUGGGGCGUCAAGUAAGUAUCAUUAUGCAAACACACUUUGCCUUAUGUACAUGAUACAUUUCUCUAUUGUUUGCAUUUGUAGCCUUGACCGCUUUUGUAGCACGCAUCUUGUGUGGCGACACACUACGCAUUUUAAGACUGUCACGCUUGACGGGCUUAACCAGGAGAAAGCCAGACACGCAUCGGAAAUACAAAUCUAGAUGUGACUGCAUUACGCAUGACUACCUGCAAACGAACUGGAACGUUUGGGGCACUGAGGGGUAUAUUGAACCUACAGUUCAUUUACUGUACACAAAAACAGCAAAGUUGGAUGGAGCUGACAUUGGAGGAGAGUAUGAGACUUAUGAAGUACACACGUCUCUCAUUAUAGAGAAAAUAGUAUCAUAUCCACAUUAUCCUACCAGAGACAUAGUGAGGUUGGCAAGGGGGAACGAUGCACCGGGGCAACCCUCAAAGAGUUUCCUCACGUAAAGGGCGCCAAAAUAAAAGUUUCAUUUUUUUAAAAUUAUUUUAAUUUACAAAUAUUUUUAUAUAAAAUUAAUGACUUAUCGCAUUACUUAAUCUUACUUAUACAUUAUGGUUAUGCUUUAUUUAAAUACUUCUUUUUCUCUUCAUUAUAAGUACAAUCGGAUUUUUAAUAAAACCAUCAUUUACUAAUGACAAAUAUGCUUAUAUAUUAUAAUUCAGUCAACAGUAGAUCAGUACAACUAUUGUAGAAGAGUUUACUGAAAUAAUAAGACAGUAAAAAAAAACACUUUUUGCUUGCUACAUCUAGAAUCUAGAUCAACAGUCAUUUUUUUCAGUUUAUAAUAAUGUAAGUUCUUCUAUUUGGUAAGGUCCUCGCUUAUCAAACUGUGUCUCCCACCCCCCAACUUCCUAGGGCGCGAAGUUCCGAGUGACGUGCCAUCGUUCAGUUGACAUUUGUUACGCCCAACAUUUAGGCAGGCUACAAGACAUCUUUCUUAACACUACUUAGUUCUUUCGAUCAAGCCCACAACGAACAUACGUGCUCCAAUGUCUAGAAUAGAUCUCACAAUUCAGUAUCAACGAACAUAUCUUUUGUGUGGAUGUUGGAGUUAGGUGAAAGUCAUUAUUUCAAGUAUGAAAACCAUUGUUUUAGGUCAGAGUUCUUCAUAGUGUAAAGCUUCAAUCUUGAUGUUAAGCGUGAGAAAGAGUGAUAUAGGUUUUCAAAUAUUUAAAAAAAGUUACCCGAUUCGAUCUUAUUUAGCGACAUUAAUUGUUGACUAAUUGCAAACAAUGUUUUUUUUAAUUAUUAUUCUUGAUGGAAUGCAGUCUAAUGCAGACAUGUAAUCUGGCAUCAGGGCAGUAUCAUCAUACAAGUGUUAUCAACAGUUUAUUAAUAAAAUACUUUAGUUUUGUAAAAUAUUGUUUGACAUCCACUCUGCGCUUGGUAUUUUUAUAGUGGAUUAAGCAUUAUGCGGACAAAAAUCACACUCUUAGAUACCCACUUGAGCGUCAUAAAGAUCAACUCAGGCGCAAUUUCGACCUCAUUGUUGUACAGAAAUGUAGCUGGCAGCAGAUGACCUCUAAAAGAGGAUAGCGCUCACGAAGACAGGGGACACACAUUUAUGGUCCAGAAGAAAGACCUAAUAGAAGACCUUGUAGAUGACCUUGUAGAAGACCUUGUAGAAGACAGGCGCAGACAGACGUACAGAAAGACGUAAAAGAACUUUGAUUGGCCUCUACCGGUCUACGUCUUUGUCUGCAUCAGGAGCAGGAAAAUAUGCAUGUCUCGACUAGGUCUGCCUAACCAUGUUAAACACUGCACUCUAUAAUUAAUCUUUGAAAAGACAUUGCCAUUGUGACCAGGCAUUAUUUUGUCUAAAUUCUUUAGCGUGUAUCUCAAUAAGUCCCCAUAACGAUUCGUUGAUUAAAACAUUAUGUUAGUAAAAGCAGUAUCUACAUAGCUCAAGUCUUUCCACAUUUGCUCUCGAUGAGAGAUAAGUCGAGUGAAAUAAAGUUCCUCAUUUUAUUCGUGGAAGUUGAUUUCUAUGUGGAUUCCAAAA